rnacentral:rRNA from 1 species
UACAGAGGGUGCAAGCGUUGUUCGGAAUUACUGGGCGUAAAGCGCGUGUAGGCGGCGGCGUAAGUCGGGUGUGAAAUCCCUCAGCUCAACUGAGGAAGUGCACUCGACACUGUGUCGCUUGAAUGUCGGAGGGGAUGGCGGAAUUCCCGGUGUAGAGGUGAAAUUCGUAGAUAUCGGGAGGAACACCUGUGGCGAAGGCGGCCAUCUGGACGACAAUUGACGCUGAGACGCGAAAGCGUGGGUAGCAAACAGG